rnacentral:lncRNA from 10 species
GCUCGGCAGGGCGGCGGCGACGGCGGUGGCUGCGGAGCUGCAGUUAGCGCUGCGCGCGUGAGGUGGCGGGGCGGCAGCCGCGCAUCCCGGCCCUGUGGCGUGUUGGGCGUGGGGGAGCGUCCUUACACGUUCCAGGGUGGCUUUUCCCCCACGUCCUCGCUCGGUUUCUGGAAAGGGGGAGGAAACGCUGCAGCUUCUACAGUACUUUUGCUUAAGACAAAGCCAGGGAUCAGGAAUCUCAAAAGAGCGGGGGGCAGAAGGUUUGAGCCGACCCCACCCCGGCUCUCCAUCGGAGCCCCGAGCGGCGCCGUUUCCUGAUGCUGGCUGUGCGUAGAGGCGGCCUUCCUGGGGGGAGGGGAGAACAAUGCUUCCUGAAAAGCCAAAAGUCGUGGAAUUUGGGGGCGGGGCUCGGGCCAAUUAAAGUGUAUUCGUGGAAAAUAAAUCGCAAGAUAGUGGCAGUGAUGAUCUUGGCGUUCAAUCGAUUGAUCUGACUUCCCAGCAGCGAACUGCACACUGCAGCGCGAAAGCAGGAAACUGGCAUUACGUCAGAAGACAGAAGAGACCCAAAUUGCAACGGUUGCAUCUGCAGGGCUGGCUGGCUGGCUUCCUCUCCUAAACCUAAACCUUUCCCUCUCCCCACCCCCUUUUGUGUGUGUGUGUGUGUGUGUGUGUGUGUGUGUGUGUGUGUGUGUGUGUGUUUCCAGGGAGCAGCUUCGCUGGGCCGCAGGCUCUGGCACUGGGUGCUUUGUCAGCGAGGCAUCGCAGGAUUUUAGGCAAAGGCCAAAGGGGCGAGCACUGGCGUGACUCGGGAACUCUUGGCCUCAGUGCCCUGGGCCCCCGUCCCGUGUCACUCUACGCUCUCCUCGGCAAGCUAGUUAGGAGCCACAACUCAUUCCUUUUAAAGAUAGCGCCGAGCUUGGAUAGCUUUCCAAAAUUCCUGGAGGGCGUAGGGAACCGCGCUGAAUGCUCGGCUGGUGUCCUUAGUUUAGCGCGAGCUCACGUCCACCCCAGGAAUACAAGUGGUGAGUGGUUAGAGAUCCUAGCAGCAUGCAGGACUGGACGAUUUCUUAACACGUUGUGAAGGGUCUCAUUUCUCGGUAUUUAAGGAUGUGAUCACAAGAUUGUUCCCUAUCAGGGACCCUUCUCUUGAGGUUUUGUCGCUGCUGUUAAAAAUCCCUUAGGGACAAACGUGAAACAGAAUGUUGUGAUUUAGUACCAAUGACCUCUUGGAACACGUUCAAGAGUUUGACACUAGCUUCACCUGCUCCGUCGUUCCCUCACUCCUACAUUCAGGGUCAUUAGAAGGUAACCUUAGUAACCAGUUCUAGGGUCCUGCCCCACUCCACCCCUAGGCAAAGCUUAACACACACGAAGGUGACGAUAAUAGCUAAUGAUUAUGGACUGUUACGCUCUAGGCAGCAUGCUGCCUGCUUUGUCAGUCAUUAUCACAUUUAAUUCUCAUAGUAGCUGGUUGAAGCCAGUACUGUUACCCCACUUUACAGAUAAGCAAACAGACUCUGAGGAUCCGUGUGUCCACCAGCUGAGAGAAGGUGAGCCCAGGCAGUCUGACUCCAAAGCCUCUUAACUUCUCGCAUUAUCACAGUGGGGAGAGGUCUGGGUGGGGACCUUCCAGGCUCACCUCAUACCAGGAAGGCAAAGACUUUCAUUCAAUCCUGCUAUCCUGUCAACUUCGAUAAACCUAGUCCCGGUUAAACACGGAAGGUGUCAGGUGACAUGUUUUUUUGUGUGUCCUCAUGUAAGAGAUACUUUUUAGGAA